GACGAACGCUGGCGGCGUGCUUAACACAUGCAAGUCGAACGGAAAGGCCCUGCUUGCAGGGUACUCGAGUGGCGAACGGGUGAGUAACACGUGGGUGAUCUGCCCUGCACUUCGGGAUAAGCCUGGGAAACUGGGUCUAAUACCGGAUAGGAGCCAUUUUUAUUGUGAUGGGUGGUAAGUUUUUUCGGUGUGGGAUGAGCUCGCGGCCUAUCAGCUUGUUGGUGGGGUAAUGGCCUACCAAGGCGGCGACGGGUAGCCGGCCUGAGAGGGUGGACGGCCACAUUGGGACUGGGGUACGGCCCAGACUCCUACGGGGGGCAGCAGGGGGGAAAAUUGCACAAUGGGCGCAAGCCUGAUGCAGCGACGCCGCGUGGGGGAUGACGGGCUUCGGGUUGUAAACUCCUUUCGCUAGGGACGAAGCUUUUUGUGACGGUACCUAGAAAAGAAGCACCGGCUAACUACGUG
rnacentral:rRNA from 1 species